rfam:Cupriavidus basilensis strain 4G11 chromosome secondary, complete sequence.
UCCCGGGCGACUGGGAGUUUGAAGGAAGUCCGAGGCAAAGCGCUGGCCUGACGAACAGGAAGCGGAUGAGGCGUCGUAUCGGGGUGAGGUAGCCGAAAUUGCCAAAGCCCAGUACUUGCACGGAACGAUCCGAUCGGCUUGCCGAACUGGACACGAUC